GUCUAUGGCUAUACCACCCUGAACAGGCUCAAUCUCUUCUGAUCUCAGAAGCUAAGCAUGGUCGGGCCUGGUUAGUACUUGGAUGGGAGAUGUAUAGCAGAUGAGGCACUACUUCUCUGGGCUGUCUCAGACC
ensembl:rRNA 5S_rRNA 5S ribosomal RNA